GUAUGCUCAACUGAAACCAUCUCAGAACCUCGUAACACGGGUUUGUCUCCACACACACAUGUCAGGAAAGAUGUCGGCUGUCAAUGCUGCAACUUUCUGCUGUCAGCUCCCGAUUUUUCGCUGUGAGCACUGACCAGUGUUUUGAGAGAGAAACAGACGUGAAAUGACUCUAUAGCCUAUCAGCUGUUUGUUUGACAAAGAAUGGAAAUAUCUGCAAGAUGCUUGUGGAAACACAACCUGCACAAGAUCUGAUUUUUGAACUACUGUCUUCUUGUCUCUCAGUUUUCAACAAAAUCCACUAUUCUGUUAUCUGCUGUAAAGGCAUCCGUCAGAUGAUUCAACUAAUGGCACAGCAAGCUGAGGAAGUGUUUCCUCACUGCUCAUAUUAGCUGUGACAUGAUCACUUUAAAGAUUAUUGUUCUCUUUACUGUUAUUGUUGCACUUCACUAUGAUUUUUGCUGGUGUCGAUGUGCUGAUGCUGAAUAUGAGAUAGGUGGGAGAUGCUGCCCAAUGUGUGCUGCUGGAAAUCAUGUUUUGUGGCACUGCACAGAAGAUACCAGCACAACUUGUGCUCCAUGCCCUGAAUUCACUUACAUUGAUGAACCCAACGGCUUAUCAAAAUGCUUUGUCUGUACUGUGUGUGAUGCUAGCCGAGGGAUAAGAGUGAAAAAAGCCUGUACUCGGUCGUCAGAUACUGUUUGUGAGCCACUGGAACAAUUCUACUGCAUUGAAAAAAAUAAAGAUAGCUGUAGAAACGCUGUGAAACACUCUGAAUGCAGCCCUGGACAAUAUAUCAAACAAGCAGGAACUCCCUCCACAGAUACAGUAUGUGCAGAUUGUGAAGUCGACACAUAUUCAAACGGCUCUUUUUCAUCCUGUUUACCUCACACACAAUGUGAAGCACUGGGACUUACUGAAACAUCUCCAGGAACACAAUCAUCUGACAGUGAAUGUGGAAACACCACUACUGCACACAUUGCUAGUGUUAUAGUUACUUUAAUAAUAAUAAUAAUUGCAGUAGUAAGUGUUUUUACAAUUGUACAUAUUCGAAAGAAGAAACGAUCUGGUACAGACAGAUUAAAAAAAAAUAUAUACAGUCAAGGAGCUGGAAUACUUUUUGACAAUUACUCAUAUACACUAUAUAUUUGCUACAAUGAGAAAAAAAGAUGGUGAUGCAGUGAGGAAUAUACUAAUGAUUAAAUUACUAUUUUGUCUUCCUUCUGUUCAUGCAGGAAUACAGGGAACAGGAAAUGAUUUCAAUGAAGCAGUCAGUAUGGUUGUUGGUGGCUGUAUAAAGAGAAUCGGAUUGUCCUAACAAAAGUCCUAACAACCUUGGAAUCACUGCAGAAUCCAAUUCCAGAAUAGAGACUACAUCAACCCUCCCCCCCAUCCAUAUCCACUUCAUACACUUAAUAUGGAUACUGAGAAAUAUAUGGUUUUUUCUUACCAUAGAGAUUAUGACAUGUUUCACUUUAAAAGCUAAUACUUUGUAAAUUGUAAAUCUUUAAACUGAUACUCAUUCAUGUUUAUUAAACUGGUAUACAAACCAAGAAAAGA